rnacentral:lncRNA from 10 species
GGAACUCUGGAAUGCUGACCUACAGUCUGAGUUCCUGUGCCCUUGCCUGGGGCUGACUCUCUACUUGACCUGUAACCCACAACUGGGCAAGAGAAAAUUCUGCAGCCACAGCUCUGAGGACAUGAGCAAAAUGGUUUCCAGACGGAAUGUCAAGGAUUCCCAUGAAGUGUCAGGGAGUCUUCAGGCCACACUUCAGCCAAGAGGCAUCACCCGGAUCCGAGGCUGCUUCUCCUUAGGACAUGCAGACAGAAGGAGAAGGCGGGGCUGGCAGCCUCCAGUCCACAGCCUCCCUUUCUUCUUCCGGCGAUGAUUAACUAGGCCUAGACAAUGGAGAUCUACGGCAUACGCCCAGGGCCUCCUCUUCUCAAGCAUGGCUGAUCAGUCACUUUCCCGUCUAUCCUUCAUUUAUUGAAGCCAACUAUGAACGACUAAAGGAAGGAUGAGAAAAGUCACCCAAAGUCAAAGGGGACAGCGUGGGAGACUGUUCUAGACAGAAGGAAACACCUUUGCAAAGACCCUGAGGAAGGCAGGGGACUCUCCAGGAGCAGAAGGGCUGUGUGGCUUCAGAGUCCACAAAAGAGAGCAGAUACAGGACACUGGCUAGAGCAGGCCCUGGAGCCCGCUGCUGUCCUGGAGGCCUUGGGGAGGCCCAGUGUUCCCAGGGUGGAAGAAGUAGGGGACAGCUUGACGUAG